rnacentral:rRNA from 1 species
UGGUCGGUAUCAGGCCAACAUCAGUUCGGUUGCCAAAGAUGGAGGAUUCGUCUUCCCGUCUUGUUGGACAGGAACCUUUGGGGGAAGGUGGUCGUGUCAGGUUUUCCGCUUGCGGAGGCCUGUCGCGACGUUAUAACCCCCUUAGGGAACACCAAGGAGUCGCGGCCCGGACUGAGGAGAUAAAGCUGCACGCUACUUUGCAGAGCUUCCGCUGGGACGUCGAGCGGUUUCGGGACUGCGCCAAAAAAGCGUAGUGUCGGGCGCUCUUGCGCGUUUCACUCAUACGAGCCACGGAAGUCUACGCAUUACUCGUGCUUGUGAUGUUGGCGAAAUGGCCUCAUCCGACCCGUCUUGAAACACGGACCAAGGAGUCUAACAUAUACGCGAGUCUUUGGGUACGAAAGCCCGCGGGCGCAAUGAAAGUAAAGGUGCACCUUGUCGUGCUCUUGAGGUGAGACGCUUUUCCCCUUCACGGGGGAAACGCUGCAUCAUCGACCGAUCCGGACGUGGCAUUGGGGGUUCGCCCUCUUUGUUCUUCUGAAAGAUUUGAGUAAGAGCGUAUCUGUUAGGACCCGAAAGAUGGUGAACUAUGCCUGAACAGGGUGAAGUCUGAGGAAACUCAGAUGGAAGCUCGCAGCGAUUCUGACGUGCAAAUCGAUCGUCUGAUUUGGGUAUAGGGGCGAAAGACUAAUCGAACCAUCUAGUAGCUGGUUCCCUCCGAAGUUUCCCUCAGGAUAGCUGGAACUCGAUAAGCAGUUUUAUCAGGUAAAGCGAAUGAUUAGAGGCCUUGGGGUCGAAAUGACCUCAACCUAUUCUCAAACUUUAAAUGGGUAGGAAGCCUGGCUUGCUUAAGUGAAGUCAGGCAUUUUUAUUGAAUGCAAGAGUUCCAAGUGGGCCAUUUUUGGUAAGCAGAACUGGCGAUGCGGGAUGAACCGAACGCGAAGUUAAAGUGCCAAAGUUCACGCUCACCUAGAACCCAGAAAAGGUGUUGGCUGAUGAAGACAGCAGGACGGUGGCCAUGGAAGUCGGAACCCGCCAAGGAGUGUGUAACAACUCACCUGCCGAAUCAGCCAGCCCUGAAAAUGGAUGGCGCUCAAGCGUGACACUUAUACUUCGCCGUUGCCGCAAAAGAAACAUGACAUAUAAUCUUGCGCCGCAACGAGUAGGAGGGCGUGGAGGUAGUGAAGCAGCUUAGGGCGUGAGCCUGAGUGAAACUUCC